AGUGAACGCUGGCGGUAGGCCUAACACAUGCAAGUCGAACGGCAGCACAGUAAGAGCUUGCUCUUACGGGUGGCGAGUGGCGGACGGGUGAGGAAUACAUCGGACUCUACUUUUUCGUGGGGGAUAACGUAGGGAAACUUACGCUAAUACCGCAUACGACCUACGGGUGAAAGCAGGGGAUCUUCGGACCUUGCGCGAUUGAAUGAGCCGAUGUCGGAUUAGCUAGUUGGCGGGGUAAAGGCCCACCAAGGCGACGAUCCGUAGCUGGUCUGAGAGGAUGAUCAGCCACACUGGAACUGAGACACGGUCCAGACUCCUACGGGAGGCAGCAGUGGGGAAUAUUGGACAAUGGGCGCAAGCCUGAUCCAGCCAUACCACGUGGGUGAAGAAGGCCUUCGGGUUGUAAAGCCCUUUUGUUGGGAAAGAAAAGCAGCAGGUUAAUACCCCGCUGUUCUGACGGUACCCAAAGAAUAAGCACCGGCUAACUUCGUG
rnacentral:rRNA from 1 species